rnacentral:lncRNA from 1 species
GCUGACUGUCGUUCAGGAGAAAAGCAGCUCAGCGGCCAUGGAGCAAACAUGGAAUUCUUACAUCAAUUCCUUAAACCAGAACUCCUUGCCUGGAUAAGUGGAGGUGACCAGGGGAAACUAUUUUCCAGGACCAAGUGCACGUGUGUGAGACCUCACUGCUGCGACGCUGGAGGAAGGUAUCUUUGCCAAAUGUGUACACAAAGAGGACUGCUUAUAUUACCGAAGCACUGCACUAAGUUUGUUCCGGAAAACGCUGUUUUCCAUGAGUGAAAACGGAGAGCUACCUGAGCCCCCAUCAAUUACCUUUGCCCUUGAGAUCUUGAAUUAAGUGCUUUUCAAUUGAAUCAGGCAUAAGGAACAGUGUGCUUCUUGCCUGUUAAUAGCAGACACCAACCCAUUUUGAAAAUUGCAUUGGGAAAUGUCUUCUUGGGGAUUUGACAAAAAUUGUUCCAUGAUUUUAAGCACAGCUUAUUUUCCUCCUGUUUACACAAAGUUUGUAAGGAAAAAAAAUGGUGAUGUUCGGAACAACUGUGUAAAUAUGUUUACGGAUGUACUUUUCUAUAGUGUUAGUAUCCAACACUAAAAGUCACCUAGCAACAAAUUAAGGAACCAUGAAAGAAUCAGAGAAGCAGCACGCCUGCCUCCAGAUCAUAACCAGGAGGCCUGGUGAAUCUUGGCCGCCAGUUGCAGAUACCCUCAUAGAAAACGUCCCUGGAACUUCACAAGCUUUGCUGUGGCUACAGAGCCAUCUCGUGGUUCUGCACAGUAUCAGCUACAAGGAAGAGGACUGCACCAGGCCUUCCUCAGUCUAUCAGCACCUAAAAUGCGGCUUGGGACAAGUCCUUGUUUGUAAUCAAUAAAAUCCAUUCCUUCCCACCGCACCGUGUCAGCGUUUGCGCUGCUCUCCUGAGUCGCGGGAGUGAAUAAGACAGAAAGAACAGGUAAAGAGGAGGGCAGGCUUGAGAACUGACAAGAACUUGAGCUCUGGGAAAUCUCUGUAGCUUAAGGAAUAAUAUGUUCAUCUAUCCGUGGUCCUACGCAACCAAUUUACUGGCUAGGCCAGGAGAAAGAGCUGUCUAGCCUUUUCCAUGUGACAAGGAAACGGUAACAAUAGAUAUGAGACCUUUCAGAAUUUUCAACAAUUCUCAAGGCUUGAAGCCUGGCUACCUUUGGGAAAAGACAUUUCUGUAGGAUGUGUCAGAUCUCGUCCUUCCGUGUUUUAAUGUUUCUGUCAAACAGUGUAGGUCAAUGUCAGUGUUCUAGGAUGCAAUAUUUAUAGGGCUCCCUUUUGCCUGGCCUUAUCUUGCUUUCAGGGAGAAAUGCACAGCCCUGUCUGCAAACAUGCUCUGUGGCCUUUUGAUUUGAUGUGUUCCAGUUUGAGUGACAGCUGGGUUUGUUAAUUAUGACUGCUAUGUAUCCUGGA